rnacentral:rRNA from 1 species
GACGAACGCUGGCGGCGUGCUUAACACAUGCAAGUCGAACGGAAAGGCCCGGCUUUUGUGGGGUGCUCGAGUGGCGAACGGGUGAGUAACACGUGAGUAACCUGCCCUUGACUUUGGGAUAACUUCAGGAAACUGGGGCUAAUACCGGAUAGGAGCUCCUGCUGCAUGGGGGGGGUUGGAAAGUUUCGGCGGUGGGGGAUGGACUCGCGGCUUAUCAGCCUGUUGGUGGGGUAGUGGCGUACCAAGGCUUUGACGGGUAGCCGGCCUGAGAGGGUGACCGGCCACAUUGGGACUGAGAGAGGGACCAGACUCCUACGGGAGGCAACAGUGGGGAGUAUUGCACAAUGGGCGGAAGCCUGAUACAGAGACGCCGCGUGCGGAAUGACGGCCUUCGGGUUGUAAACCGCUUUCGCCUGUGACGAAGCGUGAGUGACGGUAAUGGGUAAAGAAGCACCGGCUAACUACGUG